AUUGAUUUAAUACAAAUUAAUUGGUAAUUUAUGCGUUGGUACACUCAUAACUAGAAAAAGAGUGAAUCACACAACUCAUAUUUAACUGGACUCACACUCUAAUUGCAAAAUUGUUCUUUUUUUCCAACUCAUAAAAUGAACUUAGGACUGGGUCAACUUUAUAGUCUGUUUUUUAUUAGACAUUUCAAGCGUCUUUUAACUCUACAUUUUGCUUGUAUCUAUGAAGUAUGAACUGAAGAUCUUGGCUAUGAAGCAAACUCGAGUCCUUUGGUAAGGACUGGUUUUCAUGCUGUUCCAUUUUUGUUUUGCCCUCUCCUAAUCGAGCAAUCAAACCAACCAUUCUGUUCGAAAACUUUUAAGACUCUAAAUGGAAAUUGGUCAUGUGACAUUCAUAUGAACACUUAACACAUCAUUGGACAAGUUUGUCAAUUUUUAUGUACUAAAUUUACAAGUAACUUCCAUUUCCAUUGAAGAAAGUAAGCUGAAAUAAUUAUUUCACUUUGGAAAAUCAUUAAUUAACGUAGGUUGGGAGUGCAAGAAAUAAUGAUAAUAAUAAGUGAGUAACAGAAAAUGUAUAUUUCUCCAUUCAUUUGGUCUGGAACCCUUCCAUAUUGAUUCACAUUUCCAUUCUUAGAAUCACUUAAAAGCAGGGGUAAAGGUAAACUAAGCAAUAAACCAGCACAGUUACUUCUUUUUGAAUUUGAAGGCUUCCAAUUUGUCUCAUGAUAUGUUGGAAUGACUAGUGAAGAUGUUUGCUCUUUACUUUUCAGAAAAAGAAUCUGGAUGUUAACUAGUUUAAGGUGGUGAUAUCCGGAAACUAAAGUAUUUUGUUUAAUCCAGGCCAGAUCGCUAUGCGCCAAUAUUUGGUGCGUAUUCUUAUGAUUUUUCCAAAUGGAGACCAAGUGUGCCAUUCGUGGAGCAGCUGAAGGCUUUUCAAGAACUCAUUGAUGAAGGAAAGGUAACAACUAUUCAAACCAAUGAAAGUUUUGACUUUCGGGUUCAACUGUAAAGCACCUGCAUCAGAGGUGGAAGUUAUGUAAAAACUAUUAAUAUUUUCAAGACUUGUUAUAAUGUGAAUUCAAACAUAGCAUCAUAGUUCUCUUGAGUUUGUCUUUGUGAAUUCCUAGUUGUGUCUGCAUCAAUGUAGAUGGAACAUACUGGGGAUUUAUGAGUUGGUACACUCAUACCUAGAAAAGGAGUGAAUCUUGAAAGCGUAACUCCUGAGAUGAUUCAUGAAUGUUACUAAAAAUUGGAGUGUUGCAUGCUCUGUGUAACUGCUUGAUGUCACUAAGCAUCUUUAACUUACAUGAUAUAGAUUCCUUUUGAAUGGUAUAGGUACGCUACAUUGGUGUUUCCAUUGAAACUUCAUAUGGAGUGAUGGAAUUUGUACAUGCAGCUAAAGUUGAAGGACUACCAAAGAUCGUCAGUAUCCAAAACAGUUACAGUCUGCUAGUUAGAACUCGUUUUGAAAGUAAGUCAUAUUCUGAUGCUGUGAGUCAGCUUGACAUAAAACUUGCUGUUGAUAUUUCUCUUUAGAUAGUUAUAUCAACUCCAUGAUGUGAAUAGGCUAGUUAAUACAUCAAAAUAUGUUUGAACUAAGUAUAAUAUACCUAAAAUGGUAAAGUAAAUGCCUCCAUUUUCUUUGAUUACUAAUUUGCAAUCUUAGUCCUUUGAGACACAUUUAAAUAAUACAAUAUGGUUCAUUAGUUGUUUCCUUUCUGUCAGUUUGUUUGACUGUCUUUAACCAAUCUUUGCUGAACUUGUUGAAAUUACAGUGUUUUACUUGUUUGAGUGCUAAGCUAAGUUAUACCUACCUCACUUGACCUAUAUCUUCUCAUGUAUUGGGAUGUCGACAUGGUUGGGCUGUGCAUCCAACCUGUUGCUUUUACUGUGUUGAGGAGCGUAAAAUCCCAACUAAAUCAACGUGAUUGAUUCUGAAUAUUGAUCAUUGAUCUGUACAGAUAUUUAGUUUAUUUCCUUCCUUUUAUGUAGACGUGUACAUUAAGGAAUGAUUCAUUCAGGCUAGUUUUCAACACCCUAAUUGGCUAUUGUAUUUGUAUAAAGGUUCUGUACCUCAUUCUAUUUUAUAAUCAAUACAUACGAAUUAUCAAUUCUUUCUUGGUAUCAGAGCGGGUUAGCCCACGUGUUAAAGUCCAACGGCCACACGUGCUCAACGUCACCCAAUAAGUGUUGUGCACGUAUUAAGCUUGAAAAUUCACCACCCGUGCGGGAGCGUAUGAGAAUGUGAAGGUAAAAAGUCUCACAUUGGAAAGUUGAGAAACCUAGCAAGGGCUUAUAAGGAGUUGAGCUACUCCCCAAUUGCCAAUUGAUUUUGGGGUGGAACCUCAACUUCCUUCAUACUGAUCGACACCUUUGUUGUGUGCAUUGGAUAGAGAUGUUUACAUGAUGCCAUGUUUACCUUUACCCUCCCUGUUUUUUGUAUACCAUUCUCUUAACUUCAUUGAGUUUGUAAUUCUAUUACUUGAUUAUUUGCAGUUGAUCUUGUUGAAGUUUGCCACCCGAAAAAUUACAACAUCGGCUUACUGGCUUAUUCUCCACUGGGUGUUGGAACUCUUACUGGAAAGUACAUAGAUAUCAAUUCCGAAGCUGCGAAAAAAGGGAGGCUGAACCUUCUCCCCGGCUACAUGGAAAGAUAUAACAAAUCUAUUGCCAGGGUACGUUAAUAUUCAACAUGUCAUAUAGAUAAUAGAUCAUGUAGACUAAAUUCAAAUAAACACCAAACAUGCACGAUGUAUUUAGUUAUUUUAUUAUCUAAUAAAAAUAUGAACUGCUCUGAUAUGGGGAUUUAUCAUCAGUGUUUACUGUUGAUUUGAAUAAAGCACAAGUAGGUUGAUUGCUUCCAACUUGUCGUUGGAUAUAUUAAAAACCAUGGCCGGACAGCAGCAUGAAAUAUAGUUUGUACACUGGAUGUUUUGGAAAUAGUUGGUUUGCCUUGCUUGAUGAGUUACUUUAUGUUCUGGAUAUAGAUUGAUGAGGAUAAUUUCCAUUACAGCUUGUUGAUUUUCUGCCUUAAUGUUACUUUUUCUGUUUUCAGGAAGCAACAAUAAAGUAUAUCCAGACAGCCAAGAAGCACGGGCUAACUCCGGUUCAGCUUGCACUUGGGUUUGCACGGGACCGUCCAUUUGUGACAAGUACAAUCGUUGGUGCAACUUCUGUGAACCAACUGAAGGAAGACAUUGAUGCUUUCCUGUGGACAGAGAGGCCUUUGCCACCGGAAGUGGUGGCUGACAUUGAAGAUAUUUUCAAGAGAUACAAAGACCCUCCCAUGUUUUGAAAAAAAGUAGCCUAGGAAGUGUAAUUAUUGUUUUCACUUCACGUGUCUGGUUUAGAUGACAAUCGAAGGUCAAUGAUAUCCCUUGUUUGACCUUGGGAAUUCCGGUUUUGUGCGGUGAGCAGAAGCAUGAGAUUAACAAGGCCUCGACUUCCUUUUCAGGAAUUUUCUGUAUCCUCCUUUGUUUUCUUUUUCUUUCGUUUCCUCUAAUUUGCGCAAGUGUUAUCUUCAUGCUUGAUAAACUGUCAAGGUUGAUCAGUAUGGCGGGGCGGGGUCUGUAUUUUUCGUUUCUUUCUUCUUUCCCUUUUCACCAAUGGAGAGCCUGGGUUAACAUACUCAAAUGGUGUCAUGUCGUGUUCAAUUUGGUUCACAUAUAUUAUGAGGUAAAGUUAGAAAAUUAGGAUAUUGUCAACAUUGAUCUGCUAAUUUCAUGUAAUUGUUGUAUCAUAUUAAAAAUUGCUACAUUUAACUCCAAUAUUUUGCUUCGAUCUUGGAUGACGAGGAUGUAUUGUUUUCUUCUUAAUUGUUGAAUGGAAGUUUACCAAGAAGAAUAUAGGAGGAAGGCUUUGGGGUCCUUUAGAAGAAAUUUGAAGGAUACUGUCCCCUCACCAUUUGUAUAAUUUAUCAUAAAUUUAAUCUGAUGCCAGUAUGCCUUCUUUCAAAACCCAACAGAUACUUAAUUCUAAACCCAAUUGGUAAGUCACUUUUCCAACCUGGUAAACGCGGUGCCUUAUACUUGCCUUUUCUCUUUUAGCUCCAUCAAAUCCAGGGCUUCGGGCAACCACGUAUGUACGGCGCGGCACUUGCUUUUCUAACUUGUAAAAAAAUAACUUGAAACGUUUCAAAGUAGAAAGAGAGUGGCCAUUUUCCUUCUGAUUUGCUUUCCAGGUCAGUGUAACACAACCCUUCGCACAAAUCCUUUGUGUGAUCUCGACCUGAUUGCUUUAAGUUCUACUUUUUCUUUUUCUUUUUUUUGGGUGAAAAGACGGGGUCAUGCCCAAAAGAAAACAUUAAACUACAGUCCGAGGCCUACAGAUACCACGCAGGUAGGGAUCGCAACGGGUCCGGUAGGGGACGGGUAUGACAAUACCACCCCUGUCCCCGCUCAUGAAAGGUACAGAGACCCAAAUUAAGGCAAGAGCCCAAGUUAGUAAGUCUAUCAGCCAUCAUAUUGCCUUCACGAUAGACAUGAUAAAUAGAGCAGGCCCAACAUUUUUUGAUGUAGUCCUAGCAGCCCCAUAACAAUGUAACAAGUGGGUGGAGGGCAUCCACAGCUUUAUUGAGAAGAUGCACUACAACGGCUGAGUCAAAUUCCAGGCACAACAUCACUGCAGCCCAUAUCCCAAACAGAUUUUAGAAACCAAGUCCUACUUUUUCGUAUGCGUAAAAUGGUCCACUUAAAAAGAGUUCUUCUGGUGUGAUCUCGACCUCUCACACCAAAUUUGAUCUUGCUUAUCUCAAGCACUGAAAUCAUGGUGUAUCGCUGGUGUGUUUUCUCUUAUCACCCUAAUUAUAGGCUAAUCAUGUAUUUAAGUUUGGCAUUGUUGUGCUGUGAAAAUAAUCGCUGUCAGAUUUGCUGUGAGAGAAAUCGGAUGUGAGAUAAAACAGUUUGGCAUUUGGUAAAAUUUUUGUUAAAAGUGUUGUUGGUAUUGAUUUUACGCAUAAUUAGAAAAUGAUUGCCACAUAAUCAUUAAACCCAGCGUCUCUUCGAAACUUAUUCUUGCAUAAUCAAAAAAUGAAAGCACAUUAUUAGCUGCUUUCCCUUGUAGCUUUCUCUCACAAUAAUUUUUAACAAUAAGUAAUUUUCUUACAGUUUACCAAAUGGGUUGGGUUUCUCAAAAUUUUUUAAAAAAUCACUUAUCACCCCAAAUAAACAAUGUCAAACAGGUACUUAGGGUCAUAAAUUUUUUUAAAAAUAUAAAGUUACACGUUGGAAAUUUCACAAAAUAAAAUACUAUAUGAUAAGUGGUUCAUUUACUAAUAACAUCAAAACCUUUUAUAUAAAAAUGCCGCAUAUACCAAACUAUGCAGGUAGUUAAAUUGUUAAAAUAAUUGAACUACAAUACAUAAUAAGCUUCAUCCUUGGAACGAUCACAAAAAGACAAAAAAACAAAAAAACAAAAAAACAUAUGGGAAACAUUUGUCAAUAGAAGUUUCAGGAUAGAAUCCUUUCAUCAUUGCGAGAAACUUGUGACGAAAUCAGUGACGUAAUCAACUUAAGAUAAUGAAGGAAUGGCUGGUGUGCCUACCCCUUUCAGUCAAAUACGGCGUCUGUUUCCCAACGCAUUGUGAGAGAAAAACACUACAAAUACGACAAGAGCAAGCAACAAACAAAGAAAGAUGAUCUUGUUGUAAAUGUGGAGCCCAAAUGCCUAUAAAUAGGGCUUCUCCAUACUUGUAAUAACACACAGAUAUACAUGAUAGAGAACAAACAUUCUCUUCUAUUCCUUCUCUCCAUCUCAAUUCUCUCUCCAAUUUCUUCUAGAUUUAUAACACGUUAUCAGCACGAUUCUCUAACCAGCUGAGUUCUCUGAAAAAACCCAGUCAGAUAAACCAACACACACAGAGAGAAACAGAGAGAGGAAAAAUGCUAGAUCCGAGAAAUGAUCUGCUACCUCCACCUUCAUCCCCCACCAACUCCUCCAUUUCUUCUUCUGAUCUCGACACAGAGCCAACAGCGCCGAGACCCCCAAGCCAACAACAACCUUCUGGUCCUUUAGAUCUGCUGCUAUUGAAUCAAUUCCAAAUAAAGUCACUGGCUCAAAUAACUCCACUUAACCACGUUUCUUCCUCUUCUUAUUCUGUUCGACACCUAAUCCAGACUCUCUCUUUCGUUUCCACGAAAUAUUUUUGUUUGCUGCUCCUACUUGCAUUUUCUUUUCUCUGAAAUAAAAAAAAAAAACGAAAGCAAAGGGAUAAACCCAAGAGGAGGCGAAUCAUGACCAUGAUUGUUCACUCGAAGCUCAACUUCAUUGUGCUUUGCUUCUCCACCUUGUUCCUGCUUCUACCAUUCACUUAGGCUACGGAUGUCAAAUAUUGUGGUCAGACAGAUGAAUAUGCUGUGAAGGUCCAGGGAGUCGAGAUAUUGCCUGACCCAGUGGUGAGAGGCAGGCCAGCUACCUUUAACAUCUCGGCCUCAACAGGCAGUCACAAUUCUCGGCCUCCUUGCGAACAACAUCGAGAACGGAAUCGAUCAACUCGGCACCUUCGGUGUAAUGACCUUUGGCCCAGUUGUUGCCGGCACCGGACUGGCCGAAGACGAAGUUGUCAGGGCGGAAGAUCUGGCCGUACGGACCGGAUCGGAUGCUGUCCAUGGUACCGGGCUCAAGAUCCAUGAGGACGGCGCGAGGGACGUACCGGCCGCCGGAAGCCUCAUUGUAAUAGACGUUGAUCCUCUCGAGUUGAAGAUCGGAGUUGGCGUCUCCACGCGGAGUACGAUGGAGUUGUUGUGUAUGGGGGUCCGAAUGGAGGGUACUCCAAGGGUGGUACUGUGAGGACUUCUCUGGUGUGUAAAGAAAAGGGUCCAUGCUACAAGAAGAAAGUUGACUUCCCCGAAUUGGUCUUCCAAUUCAAAGGUCUAGGCGGUAAUGGUGGACCUGCGAUUAUUUUGGGCAAUUAUCAGCAGCAAUGAUGAAAGCAAAAGGAGAUCCAACAGCAAAUCCACCGAAAGAAAUAUAAAAAAACAAUAAUAAAGAAAAAAAAAAUUUAUGCUUUCUAUUACUUUGUUAUUCCUCUACAGUAUUUAAUAAACCAAUUGGUGCAGGUGUGCAGAUUACAGGUGGAAAGCAUUUGAUUUGAGAGACAAGCAUGAUGCCUUCCACAAACGAUAAUAAUAUUAUAUGCUAUACUAUUUGAUCGUGGUGUUGAUAAGAACCCACCAAUAAUUGCCUUUACUUUAUCGCAAAUUUACUUUUAUUUAAAGUAUGAUGUGGAAUUGACCCUCAUACUUUAUAAAAUUUAAUUUACCGCACAUUUAUUUUAUUUACUGUAUGGUGUAGGAUCAUUACCCAUACGACAGUAUUUAUUUAAAAGGGUGGUGCGGGUUUAUCGUCCACGCCUUUACUUUUAUUUAAAUGUAUGGAGCAGAAUUAGUGCCCAUACAAGCACGUUUACUUUAUCGCAAAUUUACUUUUACUUAAAGUAUGAUGUGGAAUUAACCCUCAUACUUUAUGAAUUUACUUUACCGCACAUUUAAUUUUAUUUAAGGUAUGGUGCGGGAUUAACGUCCAUACAGCAAGCAAUUUAAUUUAUGAAUUUAUUUUACCGCACAUUUACAUUUAUUUAAAGUAUGGUGCGGGUUUAUCGUCCAUACCAGUAAUUUAUUUACCAGCAAUUUAUUUUAUGAAUUAAAUGUGCUGUAUGAUGAGUUUUUACAGUAUGCAGAUCAGGACCAGAAGUUCCUUGAUCCUCAUCAUACAAUUACAUCAGGACUUGAAGAUCCUUGAUGAUGAUGUUAAUAUGAGAACUGGCAGUCUCUCCGGUACUAUAUUUGUAAACAUGUGAUUGGACUUGAGGGUCCUUGAUCCCUGACAUGUAAAUAAGGACCUGGGGUUCCUUAAUGAUGUAACAGUACCGUAUUGUUUCAUAAUGCCGUACACAUGGAUGAUAACUGUACUGGAAAAUGUACUGUCCACAUGAAUAGAUACGUAUUCAUGACUUGAUGAAUAGUACCGGAUAUAUGAAUAGUGACGUAUACAUAAAUAUUAACCAUUUUGGGUAAAUCGUCACUAUAUUCAAAAAGGGAACCUGCAGUUCCUUAAACUCAUGGAUGAGCAAUUAAAUGAGAUGCCAGAAGUUCCUCAAGAUAUGGACAAUUAUGUAAGGGCUUGCAGUCCAGAAAUAUGUACAGAAAAUUGUAAAAAUGUCCAUACCAUGAGAAUAUGUGAUUUUGGCUUGAGGUUCAAUAUCUAACAGUAUUGAGAACCUGAAGUUCCAACAAUUAAAUGGACAACCCUUGAGGUAUUAUUGCAAAUUGUGGUACGCCACAUAUUUCUUUGGCAUAAGAGAAUGAUGAAUUGAGGCUCCCCACAUAUUUUGUUAUAUCUGGGCCGGAAGCUCAUGAACCCAAAUAUAUGAGAUAUUAGCGUGGUUUUUACUCAAUCCAUAUUUCAUGUUCAUUUGAAAAGGGCGAAUAAAUUCUGAGUUUGUGUUUAGCCCAGGCCAAAAGUUCCAUACGUUGAAAUAUGAAAUUUGGGAGAGUCGAUGUGGUUAUUUGAACCUAUAAGGCACAAGGUUCCAAACCGUCAUUUUGAAAAGACGUAAAAACCAUAGGUGUAAGUUUAAGAAUGUGCGCAAUUAUUAUAACAAGAACAUACAACAGAUAGAUUUUUUUUUUCCACCUGCAAUGAAGGUGCAGGCCCUAUAAAAUCUAUAAAAUUACAUUAUGUUCUGGAAGCCUCUGAAGGAAGAGGACGGCGCCUCUUAAGCUUAGCCAUGAGCCUCUCGUGAUCUCCCAAAAUUCUUUCAUUGGAGACCUGCAGCAUGUCUAGCCUUCUCAGUGUAUCAACAGAGUACGAACUCACCAGUUUCAACAAGGCAUUAUUCUCUCCUUUAAGUUUCUCAACCUCCUGUUGAGACUCAUGAAGCAUUCUUUGGAGAGACGAAUUUUCAGUUGUUAACCUCUCAACCUCGUUUGCUUUGGCACGCAAACAAUCAGCCAUGUUAGAAACAGAAGCAGCACUCUGAAUGCUAAAAGCCAUUGAGUCAUCAAUAGCCUCUUCCUCUGAUCUCCCUGUCAACAACAUUUCAUCCAUUGGAAUAAUGAAAUUCCUAGCUACUAUGACAGCAGUAGCAUCAUUCAUCAUCACAGAAUCAUUAACUAUGAUAUGACGAUUUUGGGAUACAAAGGAUGGACGCCAAACUUUGGUGUCAUUGGUUGUUGUGGGAGUAUCAUUUAAAUUGAAAUAAUUUGGGCAGGAAGAAGAGGAAGCCAUUUUUAAGAAGGUUUUGAAGAAAGUCUUAGAAAAACUAAAGUUUCAGAGAAUGAAGGAAGUUAUGUUGAAACGCAGUUGCUCCAAUCAAGUUUUGCAAAGGCAAUAUCUAUAGGAGGAAAUAUGGCUACAGUUUUCCAGGAUCCCAAUAUCUUCUCGGAUCCCCAUAAUAUUUUUUUUCUUUCCCAGAGUCCAAAACUUCACGUGGCCUCCAUUAAUGUUUGUCGGCACUUUCGGCGUUUUCAAAGUAUUAUUUUCGUCAAAAGCCGAUCUUGAUUUGCGGAUUUCACGGAGCUAUUUUUUCAAAAGUAUCCCGAGAAUCUCGCAAUUUUUCUAUGGUUAAUUUGAAAUUCACCGGUUCUACUUAUUCAUUGUAUUUGUGUAGAAAUGUGUUACUAACGAAAUUUUCUUUGCAGAAGACAUCCAGUUUUCUCCAUACCUAGUGAUGCGAUAUCUACUUAUUUUUCUUAUCAGUGAGCACUCAAUAUGCCCGAGAAGCAAGACUAUCUCUGAUCAUCCAUUCAGGAAGCGAGACUAUCCCUGAUCACGUUUCCGCCACAUCAGGGAACUGUGAAGGCAACCUCAUGCUCUAAUCUCCGGAAGUUCUUCUAGACUAAAAGAAAUGAGAGCUUAUUGUUUGCUCCCACCAGCUUCCUUCCUUGAUUGCUUACCUUCUCUUGCAAUCAAUAUCACAUUAUUUUUGCAUUUUUUCUCUUUUUAUAACUCUCUGUUCAUAAGAGAUUUUAUUUCUUUAGAAUGAACAUCUGAAGAAAGAAUCCAUGGAGUGAUCCUAACUCUGAGGGUUAUUUGUUUUUGACAGAGAAAAGAGUUGUGAUUUUUGCUCUUGCAGGAUAUAACUAGAUCAUCAAGCGCUACAUUAUAUUUACUGGGCCGAUACGAGCUUGAAUGAUACUUGAGAAAAGUUUCUCCCACCUAAGGAUGUAAGCAAUACUUGUGUUAUUUUAUGCUUAUAUACUUAUUUGAUAUUUAUCUUGAAAAGUAACCAAAUGGGGAGAUAAGUCUGUUCCAAAAGAAUGGCUUGUAUGUAUCCAUGAAUUAUUAAUGCAAAUUUUACAGAUUGCAAGUUGGAUACAUUGAUAAUACACUGCACAGAUUAAAGUCUCAUAAGAACAGAAUAUGGGUAUAGCAGUGAUCAAUAUGAUGCACGCCUGUUGCGUAGCAAAUGAUGUGGAUUGAAGUCCCGAAAGGACAAUCCUUUGACAUGUCAAUAUUGAUAUUAUACACGCCUAAUGCGUAGCAAAUUAUAUGGGUUAAAGUCCCAUAAUAUGGGUUAAGGUCCCAGAAAUUAAUUGACAUGUAUGUAUUAAUCUGUGGCAUGCCUUCAGCAUGACAGAUAUAUGGGUUCUAAAUGUUCCAAACUCCCUACAUGGAGAUUAUCCACGCCCUACUGCUAAAUAACGCUCCAAUGGAGGUUAUAAUCCACAUUCUUACAUAAUAAAAGCCCCCUGAAGUGGCUUGGGUACCCAAAAGCAAAGAAAUGCUUAUAAUUGAUGCAUGCGCAUGCAAAUGAGAAUGGUGGGAUCAUGAAUUGAUGAAUGACAAUUUUUUUGGUUUUAGAGUAGCUACUCAAAUCAUCAAUGGGCUGUGUUGAUUGGAACCACGUUCAAUUAUUAAAUGUCGACAAUAUCAUUGGCCAAAAUGGAACGAGGUAAUUCCAUUAUAGAUGAGAAUGAACGUGAAAGAACAAACCCACAGUACGAACCCCAAAAGAUGUUAAUACUGAAAUUUAUACUUGGGUGUUCGGAAUAAAAGGGAAUAUACAUACUUUGUAUGACACACUGUUUCUGGCAGAAACAAGGAAUGUUGGGUUUUCUCCAUAUUUACAGAUUCAAUUGUGCCCCCCUUAUUACACAAUUACGGAGACCAACAUAUUAUCUUUAAGGGUUAUUAAAUGCACGGAGCAUAUCGCCAGAAGCGAUUUCCUAAAGAUGUAUAAAUAGCUGGGUAAAAGCUAUAUAAUGUGUCAUAAAGUUUAAUCCCUUUUAGACAAAAUCCGUUGAGAGGAUUGACAUUGCAUAAAGCAAGUCCCUAAAGGACAUGUGCUUGAAGCACAAAAUUUGUACUCAAUAUUAAUAUGCAUAAAUUACCUCAGUGAGUACAUUGAUUAUAAUGUGAUUGCAACACAUUAAAGCUUCUGCAAAAUUCACGAAAUAUUUAUCUCGACUUAAAAAUCGAGCAUUAUGCCAACGAGGUUCUUGCUUAUACUAAGAAAGUCUUAUCCGUUGGUCCUUAAAUGUUUUUCCGGAAGUAUACUAGACCAGAUAGAGCUCAGCUCCAUCACCACCACUUUGGAAUGGCUAGUCAUAAAUUUUUCAGGGGGAGAUAUUCACAAAAGGGAGCGUGGUUUUAAUAAAGACCUCCAUACACUGUACUCUUUUUCCUUCAUCCAGGUUUUUAUCCCACUGGAUUUUUCCUGGUAAGGUUUUAACGAGGCAGUGUCGCUCAAGAUUGACUCAUAGAAGCAGUGUCAACUACGAUAUUCAGAAAGGUGAUCAACAGUAUGACUUAAAGAUAUUUUGCUAAGCAUCAGGGGGAGCGUGCCAUCAAUAAAGAUCUUUAAACACUGUACUCUUUUUCCUUCGUCCAGGUUUUUAUCCCACUGGGUUUUUUCUGGUAAGGUUUUAACGAGGCAGUGUCGCACGCACGUCAAUAUAUACAGAAUUUUAUGUUACACAUGAUUAUGUACUCUUUUUCCCUUUGACCAGUUUUUGUCCCACUGGAUUUUUACUGGCAAGGUUUUUAACGAGGCAUAUUCUAUAUCAUUUGUGGUCUCCAAGGGGGAGUGUUGUAAAUGUGGAGCCCAAAUGCCUAUAAAUAGGGCUUCUCCAUACUUGUAAUAACACACAGAUAUACAUGAUAGAGAACAAACAUUCUCUUCUAUUCCUUCUCUCCAUCUCAAUUCUCUCUCCAAUUUCUUCUAGAUUUAUAACAGAUCUAAUUAAGUACUGGGAAAAUUGUCAUGGCAACAGAUAAGGUUAAGCUUUUAGGGUAUGUUUUCAGUCCAUUUUCCCGUAGAGUGGAGUGGGCUCUGAAGCUGAAGGGCAUUGAUUAUGAGUAUGUAGAAGAAGAUAUCUUCAACAAAAGCCCUCUUCUUCUGCAACUCAAUCCAGUUCGCAAAAAAGUUCCGGUUUUGGUUCAUGGCAACGAAGUGGUCUCUGAGUCAUUCACUAUUCUUGAAUAUAUUGAUGAGACAUGGAAGCAAAACCCAUUGUUGCCUCAAGAUCCUUAUGCAAGAGCCAUAUCACGCUUUUGGGCUAACUUCACGGAAGAGAAGGUGAGCCAUAUGCUAGAAUUAAUUUGUUUCAAUUAUAUCUAGUGAAUGCAUCAAAAUCAUCUUAAUUAAGGCGAGUUUUGUUGCAUUAGUCACUCACGUGCAUAUAAACGAUUUUGAACGGUUGAUGGAUGUGCACGAUCGUUGUGGAUAGCAUUUUUCCUUACCAUACAUUUACUUACUAUUACAACUGGGUUAAAAACUUGAGUGGGAAAACAUGUGGAGAGAGGUUCGAAACUCCCAGACACCCAAUGAAUAUUUGUGUAACCUCCAUCCUCCAAUCACUUGUACUAAAAGAAAUUAAAAAAGAGUACAAGCUUAUAGUUUCUCAAAUGUUGCACGGAGCUACCGGCCACUCAAAUCUAAUUUUGCUUUCACCAAUGUUAUACUAAGUAAGAGAUAUGAUUAUUGGUGAAUAUUUUACAAACAUAUCUUUUGUGAUAUUAUUUCAUAUAUUGACUGACUUUUAAUUUCUUGUUAGGUUCUGGAUGCUGGAUUUACAGCUUUAAUAUGCUCCACAGGAGAGCAACAAGAAAAGGCUUUGAAAUCAACUAUUGAGGCCUUGGAACACAUAGAAGGAGACCUCAUGGGAAAGAAGAUUUUAGGAGGGGAAAGCAUUGGGUAUUUGGACAUUGCAAUGGGAUGGAUCUCUUACUGGCUGCCUAUUUGGGAGGAAGUAGGCUCCAGGCAGGUUUUGGACCCUUCAAAAUUUCCUGCAACCAUUUCAUGGAUCAACAAAAUUCUUAGCCACCCUGUGAUCAAGGACAACUUACCUCCUCGAGACAAAGCGGUUGCUUAUUUUCAUGGGAGGAGAAAUUUUUACACUUCUGGGAAGACUUAGCCAUAGAUGCUCGUCUGCCCAUAUUGUACUAGUUUCUAAAACUAGAGAAUAAAUGUGACAUAUGUAAUAUGGUUAAGGUGUGUAUUAAGAGUAUUUUACCUUUGCUCCUGAAGUGCUAUGUUCGAAUCUCUCAUCCUAAUUACAAUUGUUUUAUAAAUUCUAUAGGCACACGCUUCAUGCAUGACAAUUGGCCUUUUUUUAUACUGAAUAUUUGUUUUAUUUUAUGAUAAUUUUCAAAUUAAACUACCAAACGCAUGCUUAAAUUUUAAAAACACUAAUUUGUUUUCUCAUUUCAUUUUCAAAAAAUAUUUUAUGAAAAUAAUUUUAGAAAACAUUACCAGACGGACUCUAUAAAUGUUUCACCAUCGUCUACUCCCUUACACUUUAAUUUAUUGGGCCUAAAAUGAUAUUAUUGAAGUCUGGUUGACCCAAUUAUGGAUGUCCGGUCCGCGUACCCAAGCACUUCCUCUCUACUUAACACGUGUGUCACAGUCUGUGUGUCUCACAGAGGUCCAUUGAUUUUUGAAACGGUUGGAAUUCGACAAGGCCUAAGCAGCGGAGCAAGAAAGCCUUAUCGGUCACAAUGGCCUCUUGCCCCACCGCCUUUUUCUGCAACCACGCAGCAACAGCAGCACCGUGGUCAUCUUCCAGAACCGGAACCAGAAGAAGUUUCUGUAGACGGAGCUCUGUGAAAGCAACUAUCAAUGCCAAGCUCGACCAGAAGACGUCGUUGCAGUACAAGAAGCUCGGAGACUCAGACCUUGUAAUUAGCGAAAUCACUCUGGGAACCAUGACAUUCGGCGAGCAAAACACAGAGAAAGAAGCUCAUGAGAUUCUCAGCUACGCAUUCGAAAAUGGGAUUAACGCUUUGGACACUGCAGAAGCUGUAGGUGCUUGUAGAUUGCUUGAAUUUUGUUGGCCUCAGUUUAAAUUUGUUUCGUUUGGGUUUUGAUUCAAGUUUAAAUCUUUUUUGUUUGUUGCAGUACCCAAUUCCAAUGAAGAAGGAAACUCAGGGAAGCACUGAUCGUUUUAUCAGCAGCUGGCUCAAGUCUCAACCCCGUGAUAAGGUACUUGAUGGUUAUGCUGUCACAUUGAAUUAGGACCAUUGAUAUGGUUGAAUGAUGUCUGAAUGUGCUGUCCUGGUUCACAGUGAUAACAAGGCAAGGAUCAUCAUUUUAACUCGUUACUAUGCUGUGUAAAUAGGUUAUUUUGGCAACAAAAAUAGCUGGGUAUUCGGAGAUGGCAAGUUAUCUGCGUGACAAUGCCACGGUCUUGCGGGUGGAUGCUGCAAACAUUAAGGAAAGUGUAGAGAAAAGCCUUAAGCGCCUUGGCACAGAUUACAUUGAUUUGAUACAAAUUCAUUGGUAAGUUUAUUGAUCAAACUUCACACAUUAUACAAACUUACAUGCUACAUUGUCACCUGGUUUGUGAUUUUUGUAGUAUCACACACUAUGUACCCGUUCUGAUAUUUAACUCGAACUUUACAUGGACUCACACUCUAACUGCAAAAUUGUUCUUUUUUUCCUGACCCACUUGUGGUAUCACACAACUCAUCAAAUGAACUUAGGACUGGGCCAACUUUUUAGUCUGUUUUUUAUUAGACAUUUCAAGCGUCUUUUAACUCUACAUUUUGCUUGUAU
rnacentral:lncRNA from 1 species